UGGGGAAUAUUGCACAAUGGGCGCAAGCCUGAUCCAGCAAUGCCGCGUGAGUGAAGAAGGCCUUCGGGUUGUAAAGCUCUUUUGUCAGGGAAGAAACGGCUGUGGCUAAUAUCCACGGCUAAUGACGGUACCUGAAGAAUAAGCACCGGCUAACUACGUGCCAGCAGCCGCGGUAAUACGUAGGGUGCAAGCGUUAAUCGGAAUUACUGGGCGUAAAGCGUGCGCAGGCGGUUUUGUAAGUCUGUCGUGAAAUCCCCGGGCUCAACCUGGGAAUUGCGAUGGAGACUGCAAGGCUAGAAUCUGGCAGAGGGGGGUAGAAUUCCACGUGUAGCAGUGAAAUGCGUAGAGAUGUGGAGGAACACCGAUGGCGAAGGCAGCCCCCUGGGUCAAGAUUGACGCUCAUGCACGAAAGCGUGGGGAGCAAACA
rnacentral:rRNA from 1 species